rnacentral:snoRNA from 1 species
CGGCCUAGCCUGCCUACUCCACCUCCCCUCAGUUGAGCCUAGAGUAGAGGGGCCAGGCACCCUCCUUCAUGGAAGAGAUUUGAGGAAGGAACCUCGCCUGGGCUGUCCUAGCCUCACAUUU